rnacentral:rRNA from 1 species
UACAGAGGUCUCAAGCGUUGUUCGGAUUCAUUGGGCGUGAAGGGCGCGUAGGCGGCGGGGUAAGUCGGGUGUGAAAUCUCAGGGCUCAACCCUGAAACUGCACUCGAUACUGCUCUGCUUGAGGACUGGAGAGGAGACUGGAAUUCACGGUGUAGCAGUGAAAUGCGUAGAGAUCAUGAGGAAGACCAGUGGCGAAGGCGGGUCUCUGGGCCGAUACUGACGCUGAGGAGCGAAAGCGUGGGGAGCGAACAGG